AAGGGCGGGUCCGUGGAACCACCGUUCAUAAGAGCAGGUGGGGCUGCAAAUCCCUUUUCGAGUCAAUGGCAGGGGCGAGGGAGGGGUGGAUCAGGGCCUGACGGGGAAGCGUGGAGGAGCACUAGGACCCAGGCGGGGUCUUGUCAUUGUUGCUCUUCCCCUUUCAGCCCGCACUGCUUGGUGCACAAGGACUUUCAGUUUUGGCUGCGCUGCUGCUGCUUCUUUCAAAAAAAAAAAAAAAAGUCUUGAAGUGUCAGGAGCAGGAUGGUGGAGAUGGGGUGAGAGCCACGCAGCCAUGGCAGCAGCGAAGCGGGUUUUCCACCUCCAGCCAUGCGAAAGUCCUCCGGCAGCGAUGUCCAGAAAUGGGUAUUUUUUUGAAGAGACUGGUUAUCUUAAAUGUGACACCGAUGACGGCUGUGAGAACAAAGAAGAAGUAGGAGGAGAAGAGCUCUUUGACACUGUAAAUUCCUCAAUUGUUUCCGGGGACAGCAUCAGAUUCUUUGUGAAUGUCAAUUUAGAAGUACAACAGAAUGUAACUGUAGAAAGUGAAAGUGCUGGCUGUGUUUUAUUACAUACAUCUAGAAAGUACCUGAAGCUAAAGAAUUUUGAGGAAGAAGUCAGAGCCCACCGUGACCUGGAUGGGUUCCUGGCCAGAGCUAUCAUCAUACUGGAUGAGACAGCAACCUCCUUGGAUGAUGUCCUUCGAGAGAUGCUGAAACACUUUGCUGAAGAUUCUGACAACACAGAGCCAAGCUGCAACUUUGACAAAAUAAUGAGCACUUUAUUCACCGAUUCGGGAGCCCCCAGAGAAGGGAAUGUUCACCUCCUAUCCGAUACAAUUCAGGGGGUCACAGCAACCGUCACAGGGGUUCAAUAUCAACAGUCCUGGCUCUGUAUCAUUUGCACUAUAAAGUCUCUUCAGCGACGUCAUGUUUGCAUCAGCCGCCUGGAGAGGCCUCAGAACUGGGGGGAGAACUCCUGUGAAGUGAGAUUUGUCAUCUUGGUUCUUGCGCCUCCUAAAAUGAAAAGUACAAAAACUGCCACUGAAGUGGGCCGGACCUUCGCCACGAUGUUUUCAGAUAUAACUUUUCGGCAGAAGCUUCUAGAAACAAAAACCGAAGAAGAAUUUAAAGAAGCCUUGGUACAUCAGCGCCACCUGCUGACGGUGGUGAAUCAGAGACCCUCAGCCGUGAACGAGGGGCACAAAACACACAGCCACAAGCCGCUCAAGUUGCAUGAGUUUUUCAAUGUUGGCAAGGGAAUAUUUGAUGACAUAGCACGAAGAUUUCCAGUGUACGCUUUGGACUUCACUGACGGGAUUAUUGGGAAUAACAAGGCCAUAGGAAAAUACAUCACAACGAUGAUCUUUUUAUAUUUUGCCUGCCUCCUGCCAUCCAUUGCAUUUGGUUCCCUAAAUGAUGAAAACACAAGAGGAGUUAUUGAUGUGCAGAAGACAAUUGUUGGCCAGUGUAUCGGUGGACUUCUUUAUGCUCUGUUUUCAGGGCAGCCGCUAGUUGUACUCUUAACCACAGCUCCUUUAGCCUUGUACAUCAAUGUGAUCCGAGGGAUCUGUGAUGACUACAGCUUGGAUUUUAGUGCUUUCUACGCCUGGAUUGGACUGUGGAACAGUUUUUUUCUUGUGCUGUAUUCUCUCUUUAACUUCAGUCUUGUAAUGAAGCUCUUUAAAAGAUCAACCGAAGAAAUCAUUGCACUUUUUAUAUCGAUCACAUUUGUGCUUGAUGCACUCAAAGGGAUUACUAAAGUUUUUAAGAAAUAUUACUACCAUGAGCACCAAGGAGACAGUUACUUGGAAAGUACACGUGCUGAUGUAAUUCCAAGCCUCAGCAUCAAUACCACCUUCUUGAUGAAUUCAUCAGUGAGCAGGUCUUUGUCGCUGGAGAAUCAGACGGGCAUGAAUGAGGUUGUGCAUUAUGGACGUGAAACUGCUGUCCUUAGUCUCAUGUUGAUGCUGGGAACCCUUUGGCUUGGUCAUACACUUUAUCAGUUUAAGAAAAGCCCCUAUCUGCAUGCAAGGGUCCGUGAAAUCCUGUCCGACUGUGCCUUACCCAUAUCCGUUCUAACCUUCUCCAUCGUAGGCUCCUACUUCUUCAAGGAAAUAGAAAUGUCCAAAUUUAACUACAACCCAUCUGAGAGCUUAUUCGUCCUGGCCCCAAUCCAGUCUCUCUCAAUUGGCUCUGUAAUGAGUGCCAUGGGCCUGGGCUUCCUUCUGUCGAUGCUUUUCUUCAUAGAGCAGAAUAUAGUGGCAUCACUCACAAAUGCUCCAGAGAACAGAGUUUAUUUCAGGUUAGUGAAAGGAACAGCUUAUCACUGGGACCUCCUCCUUGUAGCUCUGAUUAACACGGGACUGUCUGUCUUUGGAUUGCCAUGGAUACAUGCUGCGUUCCCUCAUUCCCCAAUGCACGUCCGGGCACUGGCCUACGUGGAAGAGAGGGUUGAAAACGGGCACAUCUAUGAGACGAUAGUGAGCGUGAAGGAGACACGACUGACUACACUGGUGGCCAACUUCUUGGUGGGUCUCUCACUCUUCCUCCUGCCCUUCCCACUGCAGUGGAUCCCAAAGCCAGUCCUCUAUGGCCUCUUCUUAUACAUCGCCCUGACCUCCAUUGAUGGGAAUCAACUCUUCGAGAGGGUGGCCCUCUUGCUGAAAGAACAGACGGCUUACCCUCCGACACAUUACAUCCGCAGGGUCCCUCAGAGGAAGAUCCACUAUUUCACAGGCCUACAGGUUCUUCAGCUCCUCAUCCUCUGUGGGUUUGGGAUGUCACCAUUACCGUACAUGAAGAUGAUUUUUCCUCUCAUUAUGAUAGGAAUGAUCCCAAUCAGGUAUAACCUGCUUCCUAGGAUCAUUGAAGCAAAAUACUUAGAUGCUAUGGAUGCUGAGCACUAAAAGUGAAUCUCUGCUCUGAGAACAGCGAACAGCUUUUCAAAUCAAAAGGAAAUGGCAGCCUUGCUGAGAUGUAGAAUUAUUUAUCUGAAGUUCUUGUGUUUAGAACCUCCAGGACUCACUUUCUGCUCUAGUCUGGCACUUGGAGAUAUACGAUUGAAGACCGAUUGGCCAUUUAAGUUUCAGAUCAAAACAGCCUUGGAUUGAGAGGCCAGUACUCUUCUGAGUUUUGAGGCAAGCCAGCUUUAUGGAAAUGUUACCUUCUUCAUCCUAAAACUUGAAGUCCCACAGAUCAAUGUGUUUCUCUUGUUGGAUUGUGCUAUGCUAGGGUUGCCUCACGUUCCCUUUUUUAAGGGGUUUCCCUUUUUUAUACACUGUGUCCCUUUUCCCAGAACACUAUUGAGAUGUAAGGACAGUAAUCAACCCUUGCUUUACAGAAUUACUGAAUAAUUUGGAGCUUUAAUGCAAUUACCCAUCUCUCCAGUUCAUAUUCCAAAAGGAUAGCUCUAUGUCAGAGGAUCUCGUCAAGUUAUUGAUUAGUGGAUGGGCUGGGAAGCAAAAGAAUAUGGUUGUGCUGAGGAUUGUGUAUUAUUUAAUUUCUUCAUGUGUACCAGAAAUGUUCAGAGGUUGGAUUCGCUUUGUGAUGCUGAUGUAAUUACAGCUGGGUCUAAGCCGCUUGAGAAUUAGUUCAACCUAUUUUACACUGUUACUUCUCAGUAAUCAAAUAUAGAAUUGUAGGUAUGUACAGCAGCAACCUUUUUGGUUGUGCUCAAAUUCACCUGGAUGCUGAAAUGUGGCAAAAUUCAGUCAUGCGCAUUAAUGUUCACAUAUACAUAUGUACAGAACGGCCUAUGUGUACAUAUAUACAUACAUAACUUAGAUUGGUGUAUAUAUUUUGCAUAUAUAUUAUACAUAUAUUGGAUAUCUAGGCAUAUUCUUUCAAGAUAUUGAAAGUGUUCUUGUGCAAUCAGUGUUACCUGUACUAUGUUGACAUACAUUUGUCCUUUGCUUCGGUGCUUCUUUUUUCUUCUUCAAAGCCCUUCUUUGUCAAACUGCAUUAACCCAAUUACUGAUUUUUUUUAAACAUACUGCUACAUUCAAACUUUCCUUCGUUUUCCUCUAGUCCUUUGGCUUUUGUGACCUGCAUCAUCCUGUCUGAAUGCUUUCUGACGUGAAUUUUCCAUUUAAUUUUAAUGUACCGUAUGUAGUGAAAGUUGGUUGUUUUCUAAUCAAUAUUUGUUUGUCACUUCACUGUUUCAGUUUUGUAGCUAUCUCUCAUUUUCCUCCACCCCCCGACAUUACAUUAUAUUUCUGUAUGAAUUCUAACUCUCCUGCUAUCUAUUUUAUCUUUUGGUUUAUUUAAUUUAUCUGGUAUUAUGGUCAGUUUUUCUAUACUUGAAGUACUGUGAAACAAGCUAUCCUGUAGCGAAUUCCAUAUUCAUCUCUAGUGCAGCCAGUGGCAAACUUUACAAGAAAAGAAAGUGGAGCAAUGAAGAUAAUUUUAAAAAGCAAAAAUUAGGAUCACAUUACAAUAAAUGCAAACAGACAGUAGAUUCGUGCAGACAAGUGUUUUUGUUUCAAGCAAAUUGUUUGCACAAUAAAUUGGCAGUGAAGUUUAUCGGAGAGAAUACAUCGGCGAUUUGGCUUUCUUUACGAAGUAAAAAAACGCAUCUCUCCAUUACUGAGAGGAACUGGGGAAGAAAGCUCAUAUGCUAAAACCAAACUUAUAAACCCAAACUCAAUAACUAGUUUGCUUUUAAUAACACUCAAAGGGAUUCCAUCAUAUUGCAAUUGCCUACAGCUUUGAAGGAAACAACUGAGAGCAGAGCGUUCAGUUUCUCUUUGAAGUUUCAUAAGUUUCCCAUUGACAAUCCAAUCAAGGAGCACCAGGUUGUUCCUAAGGGUUUAUAUGUUACUGUCGGGGAUAAACAUUUAGCACAGUGAUUGCAGGGAAAUAGAUUCUCUACUUCAUUAGCCAUUUGAGCAGCAUUGUAUCACCUUGAAAAUGUAACCUUAUGUUCUACUCAACUCCUGCGGCUGUGCUGUGAAGGGCAUGGCCUAAUUUGGCCCUCUUAAUAAAUGAAACAUGAGCAUUGCCAUUAAUUUGUUUUUACUAGAAAUGUCUUAGCACACCAAAAAGAAAUAGCUCUAGUAACAAACAUGGCUAACUAACUGACAGAUCUGACACUUUUUGCAUUAUCCAGAACAAGAAGAUAAGAAUUAAAGGCAACUAGAUUAUGCACAUUGACUGAUAUUCUUAAUCCUGGAAUCAGGUCUUUAGUAGGCUUGCUAGCAGUCAUUGCAGAAGUUUCAAAUUAAAGUUUAUUCAUUUCUUUAACUUCACCUAAAGAUGAGGUGAAUGUUCAGCAAACAAGACUGUUGUAUGGUCCAGAGGGCAGUCUGUGCCAGUCCACACACAAAAGACCAGGUGACUCAAAAAGAGAACAGUAUUGAUAUCCAUGGCCGGAUAUGAAUUGCAAUAAGACAAUUUUCCAACAAAUUCUUUCCUUCCCAGUGUAAAACACAUUGAAAUGGAAGCCCCUGAAAAGAAGGUUAGGUGUCUCAAAUACUUUGGAGUGACCUGCGUGUUGAAAACAUGGGUGUUGGAACUACACAUUUGUUGUGUUAUGUCACUGAUGCCUGAGCUCCCAGUGUUUGUGUUUCUAACAACAGAUCUCACAAUGUGAGAAAUCAGGCUCCCUGCAUGAGAGGGUAUAAAGCACAUGAUGGAUCCCCUGCUGGGAGCGGGGCAAGAAUGCUGCCUGCAAAGCAGCUGUUUCAAGUAAAAGUCCAUAGGUGAAAUUCAUCUCUGUGCAGUCUCAUGGAACAUAAGUUGUCCAUAGGUUUUGGGUUGACCCUCUGCACAGGAGGUGAAUUUCGCUGUACACAUACAGUAAAUCUAGUUACAGAAAAGCCUAUGAGCAUACCUGCAAACUGCAUGAAAUUACAGUAGGACUAAAAAGGAAAAGAAACCCCUAAAAUCUAUGUGCAGUAGAACAGCUACCAUAGGUUCAUUGUUCACCUUGUAAACUUACAUGAGUUACCACAACCUGUCACUUUUGCAUUGACAGACUGUGUGUGUUGCACUUAACAAAAGCCCUUGCAGGAGUAAUAUAUUUUAAAUGAGCUCUUUUUCAGUUUCUUGAAAGAACCAAAGAUGCCCUUUACUUUUCUCUAAGUCUCUCUGAAAAUACCAGUUCAGAUGCAGUGAAAAAUGUCGCUGAGUUAAGCAAUGUAAAAUAUAGAAAUAGUUACACUUCAACAUGAUUUGGAGGCAAAUUAACUCUCACAGCUACAAUAAAGCACCCUAACUACUUUUAUAUUAAGUUGUUUUGGAACAGUUUGUAAUGCAAUUUCAAUCUCGCCAUAUUUCUUUUCACCAUAAACAUGACUGUUUGAUUUCCCCCUUCCCCCCCAGGGUUUUCACUAUAUAAAUCAUGGGCCAGAGAAUCAACUGAUGUAAAUUAUCAUCAGUCAAUGCAGUCAAUAGCACUAUUUCUAUUUUCCCUAUCUGAGAAUCUGGCCCUACAUUCUAAUCGAUGGGUAUCAGAUGAAAAACUUGACUCUGUCAGAAUGUCUUGAAUUAUAUCAGGCUCACAAGAUACCGGUAAUGAUGAUCCUAUUUCAGACCAAAAAAAGUCAGGAUUUUCAUACAAGUACCUUUCCCUUCCUGUUACAAAUGAAAGUUUUUUUUUUCUUUUCUUUUUACUGAUGUAAGCAGGCAUUUCCAGGAAGUAGGCUAACUAAGAAAAGAGAGUUUGCUAAACAGAACUAUUUCUGCACUUUAAUACUUGUGUGAAGGUUAAGACAGUUAGAAUGUAAUAACCAAAAGUUUUCUUUUAUUAUAAGCUCUUUAGAUAGAUAUGCACAAUGUUAUGUAUAAAUAUUGCCAAAGAACUGGAUCUGAAAAGAUGACGAUUGCUGUUAAUUAAGAGGGCUUUGUGCUGUAUUCUACUGGAGUCAGAAGGUAGUAAAUGCCUGUGAAAUGACUGGAAUUUUGUAACCUAAAUUAGCUGCCAACAUCUGCCAAAAUUAUGAGAGUACUGGGAAAUAUAAUACACUUUUUUUUUAAAGGUUGUAAUUUGUAGGCACUUAAUGGUAUCGCUGGAAGUCAUCCUGAUCAGGUGGAGAUGUAAUCUUAAUUGAUAAAUAGGUCUGCUGGUCUGAAAGUUUUUUACAGCUGAUGAAAUGCUAUUGCUACAUUACACAUUGAAAUGGAUAUGUUGAGGUUUGUUGUGUGUAUUAAAGAAUGCUGAUGCUAUAUAGGCUGCUGAAUGUGCCUUCCAGAUUGCUCAGAAACUAACACACACAAAUCUCCACCAAGCAGCAGCGAAGUUUGAAAGCCUUAUUGGAUGGUAAAAGCUAGCUGGUUACAUACCAGCAGGUCACUGUUAGGGUAGUGACAUAAAAAAAUUCAAACUACUUUCUGGCCAAGCAUGCUACUUGGUGAAACAUCUCAACGUAGAAUCGGAUAACUGUACUGUGAGAAACACACAUCACUGAUGAACUGCACGUGAAUUAGAGAUACAAUCAUAUAAAAACAAAUACAAUACACUAAGAUGCUGAAAUAUGACCAUUACAAGCCCUUGACUCACUGCAUAUCACAUUAGGACCACACACAAAAAAAAUCUCCUUGAUGCACCCAGCUUCUAAAACAUGCAUCUCCAACUAAGCCACCAGAUUAAGCCAGCUUUUGGAGAGGUGUGUACCUUCCAUUUCACUGCAUUGAAACCAUCAUCAGGAAAACAUAGUUCAACAGCAUGAUCUUGGGAGAAGCAGGAAUUUUGGUUCAAGCUGAUUGGAUUGUAGAUCUAGAGUUAAUCAGAACAAACACUCCAUUUGCCAUCUCGAGGAGAGAGGAAAGAAAUGCCAAUGGGAGAAGAUACAUUGGUCUCACCUCAAGAACAGCCAUCAUGUUCCAGAUGUCUGCUAAGCAUUCACUUUGCACAUGUCGGAAUAGACAGAGAUAAACCAUCCAGCUCAUUUCACUUAGACUUGAGCUGAGCGCCCAGGUGUGGAAAGCCACCAAAUCCCCCCGGCUAGUAUAGACUUCUAAAUUUAACUGCUGUUCGACUUCAAGCUUGAAAUGCACCAGUCCCAGUGAUUUCCUGUAUUGUGUCACUGUUGCACUGCUUUCUUGCUAUGGUGCUAUCCACUUUGUGAUUGAGCAAGAUGGCAGCAAGGAGGAAAACUGAUUAAAUGAAAAUCCUUUAGGUUAAUAGUCUUUGGCACUCUGUCCUCAAUGCACAAAGAGAAAUGCUGGCUGACAGUACCUUCACCUUAGUUACAUGAUGGGAUCCAACAAAAAAUCUGCGUAUGAGGUUCAACAUCCGAUGUAUCUGUUUCCGUACUUGGUUUACCAAGUUCAGCAGGGCAAUGAGACACAUGUCAGCUUUGCUGGAAGUAGCUGAUCCAAUGAGUGCAGUAGCUAGGUAAUUAAGUACCAUGGUUUGCAGGUGAUCUGUUUUCAGAACAUGAUUAAUUAUGUUCAAUGAGUGACACAGCUCUCUCGAUAUAAACUAUUAAGUUCAUCAGGCGGUGUAUCUGUUUCAGUGAAAUAUAUGUCUGAGCAGUAAUGUUCUAUACACCUUUCCAUUAUUAAUGUAUUCAUUUCAAUGUGCGAUAUUUUGUAGCCCCAGACUUCUGGAAUUUGGGACGUGGAGCUUCUUCUGAUUGGCAACAACCCGCCCUUGCAAACCUGGGUGCGGAAGUUAGGGGCCUGACUUCAUACUUCACCACUUAAAUAGGUGACCCAGUUUUUCAGAGGUGCUGAGCAUCUGCAACUCCCCUUGACAGCACUGAGAUUUGUGGGUGCUCAGAACCUCUGGAAACAGGUCACUUCUAGUUAAAUGCCUGAACGCAGAGUUAGGAGCCUAACUUGAAGUGCCCAGGUCUGACCAUUGAGGCUGAGGUGCACCUCCACAACUAUGACCCUACGUGGCAGAUGGCAGUCUUGGCUCCAAAGAGACCCAAACAUAGAGAAAGGAAGUAAAAAUGCAAGAGUCGGACAAGCCUAUCACUUCCUUCACCAAGCAUAGCGGUUGGUGGAAGUCUUGAGUUGUACCUACCUACACGUCAGCUGACUGAGCAUGUGUAAUGAGUAACUUGGGUUAGAGCGAUCUUAAAGAAUAUUCCAGUUACAAACAGUGUUCUGUAUUUUCUUCUCCCUUUCCCCUCCCCCCUACCCACAGUGAGUAGUAUUUAUGCCUCAGUUUCCACUGUGAAGAUUGGCACUUUGCCAUGUGGGUAAGGCAGAAUCUUCCCUUUAAUUCUUACUUCCCUAAAGUAUUCACCCCUACAGGUUAUAUUAUGCAGCCAGGUCUCUUUGCCUGUGUUGGACCUGCAAAGAGCCUGUGCAGAAAUGACAGAUUACAAUUCCCCACCCCCUUCUGGGAGAUACAGGGUAAUGGCAUACAGGUAAGCCUCAUGGAGCACCCAGAACCUAAAAACAGAGGAGCUUUAAUUCUCUGUUCCCUGAGAUAUUCAGAACUGAUUCUUAAAUCCUGUAUCCUACUUCCAUACAAGCUAAUGCUAGAAAAGCUGCUGAGCUCAGACAAUCUGUUACAUGCCAGGAGAUUGCUAGCGGUGGUUUUAUUUUUCGACAUGUCACUUGGAAUGCAGCCAGUUAAAUUUCUGUACUUGGUGACCAAAAGGUUUCCUUGACAGCUCGGCGAGGAGCUAGUCUAUAAAUAUUUUAAGUGGCAAAACACAAGGGGUUUGUAUUUAUAGAGAUGGAGCCCAUAGAUAUUGCACUUGCUAAGUAGGAUUUUAAACGCAUGCAUAUUAACUAGUGUUGAUUACAGUGAAUGAUUUUCUUUUGAUAAAAGAGUUGCUUCUUGGGGAAAACAAUUCCUUUAUUGUAUAAGGAACUCUGUUGUAUUUUGAAACAUACAAAUAAAAAGAGAAAUAUACUGUUCAUAUAUUUCGAUGCUGA